GACGUAGGGGGCGAGCGUUGUCCGGAAUCACUGGGCGUAAAGCGCUCGCAGGUGGUCCGCUGCGUCGUGCGUGAAAGACCCCGGCUCAACUGGGGAGUGUCGUGCGAUACGGGCGGACUGGAGGCCAGUAGGGGGAUGCGGAAUUCCGGGUGUAGUGGUGGAAUGCGUAGAGAUCCGGAGGAACACCAGCGGCGAAGGCGGCAUCCUGGACUGGUCCUGACACUCAGGAGCGAAAGCGUGGGGAGCGAUCCGG
rnacentral:rRNA from 1 species